GGGCCGCACGGGCGGCGGUCCGGCGGCCUCGUCCGCGCCAGGGGUGCGGGGAGGAGAUGUUGUCGUCGCUCUCCGGGUGACCCCGGACGUAGCCUGC
rnacentral:tRNA from 1 species